AUCCCCUGAAAAGAAAAGAAGGAAAAACGUUACCAUGGAAAAAACAUUCUAACCUUCCAGCACUGCAACCCACUCUUUCAUGCCUACGGUGACCCACUUAGCAGUUCCUCUGUAGAUGACUUGGAUUCAGGGUGCAGGACCCUGGUCAUUGCACACUUAAGGCAAAUACCCCUCAGUCAGACCCCUCAUAACGUACCUAGUAAGGGAGAGUUUGGGAGUUUGUUGGCCAUACAGUGUCCCACUGGUACAUCACUGACUAUUCCAGGAAUCCAGCAGCAUGUAGAGGAUUUGAUUCCUUAUCUUAAUUAGAGUCCAACAACUACAAUUUAUUCUUUAGGUUACAAAAAGGAGUUUGUGCCAGUGGCAUGUUCCCAAACUAUAAACGAGAAAUCACGGCUCAUUCAUUCACACUACUCAGCGCGAAUACUCGUGUAUUUAAGGUUAGGUGGGAGAAAUGGGUGAUAAAAUAGCCAUGUACAGUGUUUAUUUACUUGAUACCUACUAGCCAGCGUGAAAAACACUUUCAGUAUCCCACCCCCAUGGGACCCUUAGACACUUUUCUCUAACACGUAUAUGCAAUACUUGUAGUCCACGUAAUACAGCUUUAUAUGUAUGAGUUUGAGAGUUUGUUAUUGGACUCUGAAUAAGUGUAUGUACUUCAUUCUCCCAUCACACUAUUCUCCCCCUUUCAUGGCACUUCAAGGACUGGCUAUUUUAGAUUCUUGUCUUUCAUGACAAUCUUUUUCUUUCUCAAUUCGUCUUGCUUUCUCAAUCCCAUAAUUCACACCAUUCCUUUUAUUUUUCAGUGUUUUGUUUGAUCUUACCUUCCUCUCAACCCCCAUUCUCUUUGACACAGCCACUGCAGUGCUUGGCCCCUUCGACACAAACCUUACUCAUUGCAGAGGAGAAAGCAAGGGUUUCUCCUCUCUUCCAUAGUAAGGGCUAGUAGUGUCAGAGUCCCUGUUGAUCCCUGGCUCCCUCCUCCAGUGAGGUGGAGAAUGUAGCCCAUGGACCUGUCUAAAGUUUCCAUUCACCCUAGGUGAACAUGCAAGUAGAAUGUUCAUUCCCUGACACUGAACAAAGAGGAACUGCCUAUUAGUUGGGUUGCUCCUAUCUCCCUAAGGGACAAUCAGGCCAUUUCAGCCAGAGACAAGCUUCUUCAGGAAAGAUGGAUAUUCAUGGAUGUGGGCACAAUUCUGUGGCUCUUUGAGUGCCUGAAGUUACAGUAACGGCUGCUUAAUUAACUGCACUGGUUGAACAUGUUUUUCCCAUUAGAGCAAAACCAGGAUUCCAUGUUAGCAUCCACAGAUUAAUAGAAUUUAAGGCUAGAAGGGACCCUAGUCUGACCUCCUGCAUAACACAGGCCAGAGAAUUUUACCCAGUUAACUUCUGUAUUGACCCCACUAAUGUGUUUGACUAAAUCAUCUUCCAGAAAGGCAUCCAGUCUUGACGACAUCAUGAGAUGAAGAAUCCACCAUUUCCCUUGGGAGUUUGUUCCAGUGGUUGAUCACCCUUCGCUGUUAAUAAUUUGCGCCUUAUUUCUAAUUGGAAUUUGUUUACCUUCAGCUUCCAGCCAUUGGUAUUUGUUGUGCAUUUCUCCGCUAGAUUAAAGAGCCCUUUCGUACCCAGUAUUUUCUCUCCAUGCAAAUACUUAGCUCUUUGGGCAGGGACAAUCUUUUUGUUCUGUGUUUGUACAGCGUCUAGCACAAUGGGGCCCAGGUCCUUGACUACGGUGUAGGCACUAAGGUAAUAUAAACAACAUCCAUCCAUCUUGUUUAUAAGAUAAGAUAACUACUCCUACAUCACCUGAUUUCUUUAUUUAAAUUACCAAUUUUUAAUCAGCUAAACUUGAUCAAAGAGACAGAAUACGUGAAUACAAACCCAUAGAAGUGACUGGUUUGGAUGAUAUAAGCAGAGGAUCAUUCUACCCAGUAAGGGGGGUUGAGAGUACUGUUCCCUCUAAGCUGUGCGCGUGUGCGCGCACACACAGAUCCUAAACGCUGCGCACAUGGCGAAACACCGCGCGCACAAAAAUUUGCACAGAAGAAAUUUUUUGUGCACACAGCCUGUCAAAAAUUAGAGGGAACAUAGACAGAAUUGCUUGGUGCCUUCUGCAAACUUACCUUGAUGUUUUCAUACUUGAGGACAGAGGGAUGAUUCUCCAGCUCCUGGUAUAUGUGAGGAGUGAGGAGCUGGGCAAUCUCAGGGCGCAUGCGGUGCUGGAAUACAGAAACAAAAGUUAAAGGAGGGCUAGGGUUAGCAGUAGCCAACAUAAAUGGGCAAAUUUCUCACAUGAUGGAAUGAACUGAACCAUCCCUCCAUUUCUGCUUCAUCAGAGAAGACAAUGACCAAAUACGAGACAAUGGUGCCGCAGAAAUGGAAACUAAUCCUCCCUCUGUCAUCAAUUCCAAUCCAACCAGAUGGAAAUGACCAAAUGUAUCUUCAUGAAGAUAUGGGACUGUAAGUAAGUUUGUUGCUUUCAGUGCAGUUCCCAGUGGACAGGUUGUCCAGAUCACAAAAGCCACCACCAGCAUGACAUCACUGUGACAUUAUAUACCCCAUGUAACCCCCUGUACCCACAUAUUCACUACUGUUAUAUGAUUAUACGUAUUGUACAAAGUAUGCCUUGUGAGAUACCAUUUGAAAAGUCACAAUCUGUUAAAAAUUAGUGUUACAAUGUAUCUUCAUUGUAUAUGAAAUUAUGAGAUGUUGCUAUGUGUUUUGUGAGUCUCCUUCUCUCACCAGCUUCAGUUAUGCAACAGGGAGAGAGCCCAAGAGCAGAAAGGCUGUAUCAGAAGAUGUAGUGCCUGUGUCUUGAACGGACACAGAAGCUGGUCUGCAUGGAUCUGACAGAUCCCAGCGCUCUUCUCAGGGAUUAAGCAAAACCUGGUUUUUUGUUUUGAUUUUCAGAUUGCUAUGGGAGCAGGAAUAUAAGGCUGAGCUUCCUUUAGACUCCAAGACUCCAACCAGGGGGUCAUCAGGGCUUGAUGUUGAUCCAGGAGACGUUGGUGACUGAGAGCUUGGGUGAUGGAGAGCGAGUCGUAGACGAAGUGGUUGGCUCUGGUUCAGCUCGAGAAGUUGAUUACGUAGGCUCAUCUGCUGCUGGUUGUUUUUCCUUGAAAAACAUGGUGAUCAGCAACUGUCGCUGUUGUCUCUUGAGCUGCUCAAACAUUUCUUGAUAUGGUCUCAAAUCGUCCGUAAUACUACGUGUAAUUUUGUGGCUUCGUUCCAUAGAGAGAUCGAAUUGAGAAAUUAAAUCAUUCAAGUGUUUCACUGCUUGGAACACUUCAGCAAAUUGGGCUUGUCUUUCUGAUUUUGAAGUGGAAGCGUGGUUGGGCAUUUUUUUUCCAGAAGAGCCCAGUCUCAUCAGCAUUAAAAACUUGUUCCGGAAGAUAGACCUUUUCUUCUAUGAUUUUCUUUAAUUGUUCGGGGUAGGCUUUUGCUGCCUCUUCAUUGGCAGAUGCAGCUUCACCAGUAGUCUGCACCUUUUUGAGGUUGAAGUGGUUCCUAAAACUGUUAAGCCAACCUUGGCUGGCUUUGAACUCCUUCUCAUCAGAAGGCUGUCCUCCUUCGGCGGGAGAUUUGAACGCAUAGAGGCUAAGAGCCUUUUCUCGCAAUGUGUUGCCAUCGAUAGGCACACGUUUACAGUUCAUGUCUUUCAGCCAUAAGUUUAAUGCCUUUUCAGUCUUCACUAAAGUCUUAACUCACACCUGGCUCGUCAUCUUAGCAGUUAUUGGAGCACUUGAUGCCAUGGUUUGACAAAUUUCUCUCUCGAAUCUUGAUGGCACGGAUGCUAGAUUCAUUGCGGCCAUAUUUAUGUGCCACAUUGGAGACCGACAUACCAUCUCUCAAUAAGUCCAACACAGCCAGUUUUUCCUCCAACAUUGGAACAGAUCGCUGUUUCUUCAGUUGAGCACCAGAUGAAGUAGUUGGCUUGCGUUUAGGGGCCAUUUUGUAUGAAAAAUACGUACAGUAUCUUUAAACACUAGAAUCACACUCAACGCGGCGAGAUGCUCACACUAUGAGAGGCACGUGGGAACUGACACCGACUGAGGGAAGAGCAGAUUCACAUCUCCCAUCUCACGCUCACUCCGGGGCAUACGCUCAUUGAUGGAAUGGUGGGCGGAAUCGCCCACACUAUUUACAGGUAUCUUGUUAUUUUUCUUUUUUUUUUGCUGAGCGUGUAUAGUUGAAUUUGUGUACGUUAAAUGCGCGGAUGAUGCGACUCACCUGUAUUUGCUAGGUAAUCUGCUUUGAUCUGUUUGCUAUCACUUAAAAUCUAUCUUUUUGUAGUUAAUAAACUUGUUUUAUGUUUUAACCUAAA